CUGGCGGCGUGCCUAAUACAUGCAAGUCGAACGAGUUCUCGUUGAUGAUCGGUGCUUGCACCGAGAUUCAACAUGGAACGAGUGGCGGACGGGUGAGUAACACGUGGGUAACCUGCCCUUAAGUGGGGGAUAACAUUUGGAAACAGAUGCUAAUACCGCAUAGAUCCAAGAACCGCAUGGUUCUUGGCUGAAAGAUGGCGUAAGCUAUCGCUUUUGGAUGGACCCGCGGCGUAUUAGCUAGUUGGUGAGGUAAUGGCUCACCAAGGCGAUGAUACGUAGCCGAACUGAGAGGUUGAUCGGCCACAUUGGGACUGAGACACGGCCCAAACUCCUACGGGAGGCAGCAGUAGGGAAUCUUCCACAAUGGACGCAAGUCUGAUGGAGCAACGCCGCGUGAGUGAAGAAGGCUUUCGGGUCGUAAAACUCUGUUGUUGGAGAAGAAUGGUCGGCAGAGUAACUGUUGUCGGCGUGACGGUAUCCAACCAGAAAGCCACGGCUAACUACGUGCCAGCAGCCGCGGUAAUACGUAGGUGGCAAGCGUUAUCCGGAUUUAUUGGGCGUAAAGCGAGCGCAGGCGGUUUUUUAAGUCUGAUGUGAAAGCCCUCGGCUUAACCGAGGAAGCGCAUCGGAAACUGGGAAACUUGAGUGCAGAAGAGGACAGUGGAACUCCAUGUGUAGCGGUGAAAUGCGUAGAUAUAUGGAAGAACACCAGUGGCGAAGGCGGCUGUCUGGUCUGUAACUGACGCUGAGGCUCGAAAGCAUGGGUAGCGAACAGGAUUAGAUACCCUGGUAGUCCAUGCCGUAAACGAUGAAUGCUAGGUGUUGGAGGGUUUCCGCCCUUCAGUGCCGCAGCUAACGCAUUAAGCAUUCCGCCUGGGGAGUACGACCGCAAGGUUGAAACUCAAAGGAAUUGACGGGGGCCCGCACAAGCGGUGGAGCAUGUGGUUUAAUUCGAAGCAACGCGAAGAACCUUACCAGGUCUUGACAUCUUUUGAUCACCUGAGAGAUCAGGUUUCCCCUUCGGGGGCAAAAUGACAGGUGGUGCAUGGUUGUCGUCAGCUCGUGUCGUGAGAUGUUGGGUUAAGUCCCGCAACGAGCGCAACCCUUAUGACUAGUUGCCAGCAUUUAGUUGGGCACUCUAGUAAGACUGCCGGUGACAAACCGGAGGAAGGUGGGGAUGACGUCAAAUCAUCAUGCCCCUUAUGACCUGGGCUACACACGUGCUACAAUGGAUGGUACAACGAGUUGCGAGACCGCGAGGUCAAGCUAAUCUCUUAAAGCCAUUCUCAGUUCGGACUGUAGGCUGCAACUCGCCUACACGAAGUCGGAAUCGCUAGUAAUCGCGGAUCAGCACGCCGCGGUGAAUACGUUCCCGGGCCUUGUACACACCGCCCGUCACACCAUGAGAGUUUGUAACACCCGAAGCCGGUGGCGUAACCCUUUUAGGGAGCGAGCCGUCUAAGGUGGGACAAAUGAUUAGGGUGAA
rnacentral:rRNA from 2 species